CCAAAGCGUUGAUUCCUUCUCCAGGGCAACGAUUUCUUCUCCAAUUGUAGGAAUUCACGCUCUUGAAACCACCAAGGGUUUUCUUCUCUUCCACUCUCGCUCAAUCUUCUCCUUUCAAGUUGCUGAUGAUUUCUGGACAUUCGCAAUGGCCGCCUAAGAGCUUUCGCCUUAGCCAGGCUUGAGAGCUAAAAUGUUGCUUUGCUCCUAUCUUGGAUGUCUGAAGUUUAUUUAGAAAUUUGUUUUUGAUAUUAGGUUCUUAGU